rnacentral:rRNA from 1 species
CCUACGGGGGGCAGCAGUGAGGAAUAUUGGUCAAUGGACGAGAGUCUGAACCAGCCAAGUAGCGUGAAGGAUGACUGCCCUAUGGGUUGUAAACUUCUUUUAUAAAGGAAUAAAGUCGGGUAUGGAUACCCGUUUGCAUGUACUUUAUGAAUAAGGAUCGGCUAACUCCGUGCCAGCAGCCGCGGUAAUACGGAGGAUCCGAGCGUUAUCCGGAUUUAUUGGGUUUAAAGGGAGCGUAGAUGGAUGUUUAAGUCAGUUGUGAAAGUUUGCGGCUCAACCGUAAAAUUGCAGUUGAUACUGGCGACCUUGAGUGCAACAGAGGUAGGCGGAAUUCGUGGUGUAGCGGUGAAAUGCUUAGAUAUCACGAAGAACUCCGAUUGCGAAGGCAGCUUACUGGAUUGUAACUGACGCUGAUGCUCGAAAG